UUAAUGGCUAAGCAAUCUCUGGACGUGGGUAACGUAUUUUUUCAUGCGUUUUGUUACACAGUUCUUUUGCGGAGGCGACAUGGAACUCCUGCAAAGGUAGACUUAUAUUUUUCUUUUGUGCAGUCAUUUCUACCUUGAGACUGAUUUGUGCUAUCAUCCAUCGUUGGUGCCGUGGUUCUCGCAAGAAAAUUCGGGCAUCUUAUUUAAAUCCCUUAGUCUCAUGCUGCUUGGGGGUGCUACUAGACCAUGGAAACAGUAUAUGAAUGAAUGAAUGAAUGAAUGAAUGAAAGCUCAAUCAACAUGU
rnacentral:lncRNA from 1 species